AACGUAGGAGACAAACGUUAUCCGGAGUUACUGGGCGUAAAGGGCGUGUAGGUGGUUGCGUAAGUCUGGCGUGAAAUUUUUCGGCUUAACCGGGAAAGGUCGUCGGAUACUGCGUAGCUAGAGGACGGUAGAGGCGUGUGGAAUUCCGGGUGUAGUGGUGAAAUGCGUAGAGAUCCGGAGGAACACCAGUGGCGAAGGCGACACGCUGGGCCGUACCUGACGCUGAGACACGAAAGCGUGGGGAGCAAACAGG
rnacentral:rRNA from 1 species